AAUGAACGUUGGCGGCAUGGAUUAGGCAUGCAAGUCGAGCGAGAAGAGUUUUGAAGCUUGCUUUAGAACUCGGACAGCGGCGAAAGGGAGAGUAACGCGUAGUUAUGUGCCCUAGGGUCCGGAAUAGCCACGGGAAACUGUGGGUAAUGCCGGAUAAUAUCCCCGGAUCAAAGGUGUGAUUCCGCCCUAGGAGCAGACUGCGUCCUACUAGCUAGUUGGUGGGGUAAUGGCCCACCAAGGGAAUGAUGGGUAGCGGGUGUGAGAGCAUGACCCGUCUCACUGGGACUGAGACACUGCCCAGAAACCUACGGGUGGCUGCAGUCGAGAAUCUUCGGCAAUGGGCGAAAGCCUGACCGAGCGAUGCCGCGUGCGGGAUGAAGGCCCACGGGUUGUAAACCGCUGUCGUAGGGGAGGAAGGUUCCGUGAAGAGCGGGACUUGACCUAUCCUAGGAGGAAGUACGGGCUAAGUUCGUGCCAGCCGCCGCGGUAAUAC
rnacentral:rRNA from 1 species